GUAAGCAGCGUUUUUCUUUCGUUCUCGUUUUUGUUUUCUCCCUCUCCCGGAAUGGAUAUCCCGGCAGUCCAGCUCCUAUGCCUGGAGCAGUCGGACCGUUCGCUGGAGGACCAUACUAGGUUUUUUUUCGAUCUGGCGUGCCUUACCCACUUCCCAGACCACUCGCUCUGUGCUUUUUAUUAUCAUGGCCUGAGCGAGUGGUCUAAGGCACGCCUACCAGUGAACGGUCCCAGAGAGGAUUUCGCCGCUUUCGUGGACUGGGUGCUUGAGAAAAAUGGAUCUCCAUUCACCGUCGGCCCUGCUGAAGAGGAUAUAUCCAGCCCCACUCCCGAACCAGAGACCAGCCAGCCAUCAUCCCGUGGCACGGAGAUACUGCCUGAGCCCACCGCAGACGGAGAGCCUGAGCCCACCACGACUGAGCCGAUCGUCUCCAUGGAGCCUGAGCCUCAAUCAGCGUCUGACCAAGUGCAUGAGCCGGCAACAUCGUCCGUUCCCGAGGGAGUUUUGGUGGAGAUUGAGGUCUUGGAGGGAAGCUCCAUCCACCCUCCCACCCCUGAGGGUGAGCUGCAACUAGUCUCUGGAGUUUAUUAUGAGGAACUUAUGGACAUUUUUGAAAUUGAUUUAAUAGACUGGUUUGGGGAGGUAACUCCCAGUCCUUCUGUGUCUCUGCUGGUUCCGCCCAGCCCUGAAUCUCAUGUGUCUCCGCUGGUUCCGCCCAGCCCUGAAUCUCCUGUAUCUCCGCUGGUUCCGCCCAGCCCAAGUCCAUCUGUAUUCCCUCCCAGCCUCCCUCUCCCGCCGCCUCUCAAACCAGCCAGUUCCUCAACCCCAUCUCCCCUGGUGCCAGUCAGUCCUGCAGCUCACCCUCAGUCAGCGCCAUCUGGGCGCGAUGAUUCACCACUGGACUUCCAGUCUCCAGCUCCGCCUUGGCGUGAGGAUUCCCUGUCGCCACCUCCAGCCUCCGAGCCCUGGACUCCACCUCGGUCCUUUGACCCAUCGGCUCCGCCUUGGCACCUCGCUCCGUCGUCUCCACCAUGGUCCAUCAUCCUACCAGCUCUACCGGGCUCCCUCAUCCCUCCGGCUCCGCCUUGGUCAGUCAUCGACCAUCCGCUGCCUCGGGAAUCCACUUCUCUGGCUUCACCUCGUCACUCCUUCCCUCCAGCUCCAUCCUCAGUCGCUCUGGCUCUGCAGUGGUCUUCCGGAGCCCCGCCUCCACCUCGGUUGCCUGUGCCUUCAGCACCGCCUUGGACCUCCGGAUCCUUGGUGUCACCCUGGCUCUGCGUCUGCUCGGCUCCAUCCUGGGCUCCUCAUCCAUCGGUGCAGUCUCUGUCAGUUGGCCCCUUGGUGUUGUCUCCUCUUUCUCCAGCAUGGAUCCUCCCGCCGUCGACUCCACCAUGGGUCACCAUCCUGGCUGGCCUCUGGAGUUCCAUCUGGCUCCUCCUGCUCCGGGCUCCUCCCUGGCUCCUUCUCCCUGGUACUAUGGUCUAUGCUCCCUCUCCAUUGCCAGCCCCUUUCCUGCCCCACGCCCACCUCCUGAACCCCCACCCUCCCUCCUCUGGACUAUUUCUGUCGGUGCGGGGAUGCCCCUUUCCGGGAGGGGGCGAACUGUCACAAUUAUGGACUUCUGUUCGUACUAAGUUUCCUUAUUUGGUCAUGUUCCUUUGCUUGUUUAGUUAAUUAAUUAGCCCCACACCUGUUUCUGUUUCCCACUGAUUAUGUUCACUAUUUAAAGUCUGUGUUCUCCUUUUUUCCUUUGUCCGCUAUUGAUGUAUGAUACCCCGACUUGGUUUUGCGUUUGGAUGUGCCCUUUUUCCUCCCGUGUAUUAUUAUAAAGCCUUAUUUGUUAUUUCCUUCGUCAGGCAUUUACUUAACACACCUACACUUGUUACACACACACACACACACACACACAUAUAUAUAUAUAUGGAAUUAUUUUCUUAUCUUACUUUGAAUUUGCUAUAAGAAAUCAAAUACACUGCUGGACAAUAAUCAAUUUUUAAUCUUUUUUUUUUUUUUUCAAAUGGCAAUUUUAUGAUUGUUUUAUAAACUGCUAAAAUUAUUUACAUUUUCUGCACAUAAUUAGGUAGAAAAUAUACUGUAGGCUACUAUAUAGUUUCUAUACUGUGCUAAAUGAUGUCAAUUAGUACUGCAUCAUUCAUAAAUUGUAUUAAUUGUGUUUAUUCUCUUAACAUUUCACCAGUUCAUUCUGCUUUUUAUUCAGCUUAGCUUCAGCGAUAGAUGUCUUUGUCCAUAUUAGGCACUU
ensembl:lncRNA